GAUGAACGCUAGCGAUAGGCUUAACACAUGCAAGUCGAGGGGCAGCAUGGUCUUAGCUUGCUAAGGCUGAUGGCGACCGGCGCACGGGUGCGUAACGCGUAUGCAACUUGCCUCACAGAGGGGGAUAACCCGUCGAAAGACGGACUAAUACCGCGUACACUCUAUGUUGGGCAUCCAAUGUAGAGGAAAUGAAAUUCGCUGUGAGAUAGGCAUGCGUCCCAUUAGCUAGUUGGUGAGGUAACGGCUCACCAAGGCGACGAUGGGUAGGGGAACUGAGAGGUUAGACCCCGGCACUGGUACUGGGCCACGGACCAGACUCCUACGGGAGGCAGCAGUGAGGAAUGUUGGUCAAUGGGCGAGAGCCUGAACCAACCAAGUCGCGUGAAGGAUGACUGUGUUAUGGAUUGUAAGCUUCUUUUAUACGGGAAUAACAAGAGUCACGUGUGGCUCCCUGCAGGUACCGUAUGAAUAAGCAUCGGCUAACUCCGUG
rnacentral:rRNA from 1 species